rnacentral:rRNA from 2 species
CGAGAGCAAGCGGACCUCAUAAAGUGCGUCGUAGUCCGGAUUGGAGUCUGCAACUCGACUCCAUGAAGUCGGAAUCGCUAGUAAUCGUGGAUCAGAAUGCCACGGUGAAUACGUUCCCGGGCCUUGUACACACCGCCCGUCACACCAUGGGAGUGGGUUGCAAAAGAAGUAGGUAGCUUAACCUUCGGGAGGGCGCUUACCACUUUGUGAUUCAUGACUGGGGUGAAGUCGUAACAAGGUAACCGUAGGGGAACCUGCGGUUGGAUCACCUCCUUACCUGAAAGAA